rnacentral:lncRNA from 1 species
AGAAAGCAAAAGACUGAAGGUUCUGAUUAUGCCUUUUUUCUCUUAUGUUACAGAAUGGAAAAGACUCCUGCAACUUGAUGACCACUUUGUGCAGAGAGACUCGUUUCCAAUAGAGCCAACCUCCAAGAAGUCACAGGAUUUGUUCCCAGCACUGGCCAACCAAUCUGGUCUCAAGAUAACAGAUGUUAAGAAAGGUGAGGACUGGAUCUUCGAUGGCCACUCAAUACGGAUAACCAGGCAAGCUAGGCUGACUGCGUGAGCCUGC